UUUGUACUCCCUUCGUCCCAAAAUUCUUGUCUUCAAUUUGUCUAAAUACGAAUGUAUCUAGUUACAUUUUAGUGUUAGAUACAUCCAUAUCUAAACAAAUGCAAGACAAGAAUUUUGGGACGGAGGGAAUACUAC
rnacentral:pre_miRNA from 1 species